UGAAAGCAGAGCAGAAGUAGAUUUAGUUAGCAUGCAUUUGUGUUCAUUAUUUUCUAGUUUAGAGACAGUCACUGCAAAAGAGCAUGUUGGGCUCUGACAAUUGCAAACACAUAAUUAACCCAUUAUAGUAGUAUAGUUUGUCUGUUUUUGUACAUUUUCAAUCUGUCUUACCUGACUGAGAGAUAUGUCAUCUUACCUUUUACAGUCAGGAUCACCGGCUUUUGUCCUUGAACAUUUUAAUUGCGUUAGGACAAUUAAAUACUGGCAAAAAUAACUCAGUAACCACUGUAGACACUAUAGUAUUUCAACCACAGCAACCAACUAGCAACAUUUGGCCAACACCCAGUACAACCUACAACCACCUAUUAAUGCCCUAUCUGGUCACACAUUAAGUGCCCCGUCACAUCACACAGAGACCAGUGAAAUUUAUUUAUUGUAAUUGGUCAACAGCACAAGUUUGCCUGUCAAACUUCACCAAAGUUCAACUCUUUGCAAAAGGAAGACGAGGAGGCAGAGUCCUGGCCACAUACACCAGGGAGAACAGACAGGAAGAAGCCUAAUAGUGUUUGGCCAUACAGCAUGAGUUUGAGAUGAUGGAGCCAUCUGAAGAGGUUUUAAACAGGUGUAAAGUAAGAGGAGGAAAAUAAGUCCUGAGAGAAGUGAUUGUCUGCGGCCUCGCCAUCCUAUCUACAGUAGCGCUCUGAGCGGUCUGCAGCCGCUUUAAACCUGUAAGACGUUCAGCGUUCCUCCUUUAAUCCUCCUGAGAAGACGGCCUGAGAGGGAAGGAAUGUGCCGGAUCAAACGAUCCCGCUUCUCCUCCCCCGCCUCCCACCUGAAGACCAGAACAAGGACGCUCUGUUUUCAGGGGGAUUCUCAGGUAACCGGAGCCGCUGCCCCCUCUGCAGCCGCCCACACUUUCCCCCCGGCGGAUCCCUUUUCCCACCUGAAGCCGGGCCUUGUUCCACACUAAACGACUACGAUGUAAUUAGUCUCAGGGACACAAAGACUUCAGCAGCCCCUCCUCAGCCCGUACAGACGUCUCAAUGACUCAUUAGGAGACAACAGAUUAGAUACGGAGGUCUAGGAUGUCCUCCGCCCCGCCGUCCACCUGCCGACAGGUGAGCUGGACGCGAGCUCCGCCCCCCACUUCUCUACAACUCUCAUUACCUGUCUGGAGCAGAGGUCGUGAUCCCUCCCACGGGACCUGCUGGAUGUAACGAGAGGGGCGACCUCAUCCUGCGAGGGAGGAAGGAAGGAAAGGAAAGGAAAGAAAAGGAAACAAGCUCAGGAUGAAAGAGGAGAUGAGAGAUUUAAUGGGAUGGUGAUGGAUACCGACCACACACACACACACACACACCCUGACCACCUCUCUCUGAAAAUAGGAUUUGACGUUGUGGAUACAAUGCCGCAUCUUUAUUUGUGGUGGGUGGUAAUCCUGUGUGUAGGUGUGUGUGUGUGUGUUGAGCUCUUUUCAAUUGAAGUCUCACUUUGUUAGAUCAAUUGGUGAUAUUUCUAAGAGUUGGCAAGACAACAUACAUAAUUAACACAUAUUAAGCUACACAUUCACGAUUUUGAGUUUCCUGUACAUGAAAAAAACGAGUUUUGGCCUUCACUCUCAAAGCUGCUGUCGUCUUUUGAAAACGCUGAACUCCACUUUAUGAAAGAACAAACAAGUAUAUAGCAGAAAAUAUGUGAAAGUGCGAAACAUUAGCUGCAGUUCAGAAUCAACAUAACUGUGAAGCACUUUGUAAUCCAGGUUUUGAAAUUGCUCAUUUAAAUAAAGUUUUACUUAUUUCCUAAUUCACUUACUUUCAGUGAUGGCUCUGUAGUCCAUUAGCAUCUCAGAUCAGACAAAGUUUUCAAAAGUUUCAAGUAACUGGGAACAAAGAU